rfam:Bacillus sp. KCTC 13219 scaffold10.1, whole genome shotgun sequence.
GAUAGAGGAACACAAGCUAGAAUCUUCGCAUCCUGCGAAAACGCUUGUGUGACCAACAUCGUGUUGG